AGGGAAUUUUGCGCAAUGGGGGCAACCCUGACGCAGCGACGCCGCGUGAGUGAUGCAAGCCUUCGGGUUGUAAAACUCUGUCCUUGGGGAAGAAACAAAUGACGGUACCUGAGGAGGAAGCCCCGGCUAACUACGUGCCAGCAGCCGCGGUAAUACGUAGGGGGCGAGCGUUGUCCGGAAUUAUUGGGCGUAAAGGGUGCGUAGGCGGUCUUUUAAGUCAGAUGUGAAAGACCACAGCUUAACUGUGGGGUUGCAUUUGAAACUGGAAGGCUUGAGUAUCGGAGAGGGUAGUGGAAUUCCCGGUGUAGCGGUGAAAUGCGUAGAUAUCGGGAGGAAUUCCAGUGGCGAAGGCGCCUACCUGGACGAAAACUGACGCUGAGGCACGAAAGCUGGGGCAGCAAACA
rnacentral:rRNA from 1 species